UCGUAGGCUUACUUCACUCCAUAUCGAUCCC
rnacentral:piRNA from 1 species